GAUGAACGCUAGCGGCAGGCCUAACACAUGCAAGUCGAGGGGCAGCACAAAAGGUAGCUUGCUAUCUUUGGUGGCGACCGGCGCACGGGUGCGUAACAGGUGUGCAAUCUGUCCUAUACCAGGGCAUAGCCCAGCGAAAGUUGGAUUAAUUCUCUAUGUGAGCCGAGAGGGCAUCCUUUUGGUUUGAAACGUGAGGGUAUAGGGUGAGCACGCUUCUGAUUAGCUAGUUGGUGAGGUAACGGCUCACCAAGGCGACGAUCAGUAGGGGUUCUGAGAGGAAGGUCCCCCACACUGGAACUGAGACACGGUCCAGACUCCUACGGGAGGCAGCAGUGAGGAAUAUUGGUCAAUGGGCGAGAGCCUGAACCAGCCAAGUAGCGUGAAGGAAGACUGCCCUAUGGGUUGUAAACUUCUUUUGUUCGGGAAUAAAGUGCAGUACGCGUACUGUUUUGUAUGUACCGUUCGAAUAAGCAUCGGCUAAUUCCGUGCCAG
rnacentral:rRNA from 1 species